rnacentral:rRNA from 1 species
GAUGAACGCUGGCGGCGUGCCUAAUACAUGCCAGUCGAGCGAACGGACGAGAAGCUUGCUUCUCUGAUGUUAGCGGCGGACGGGUGAGUAACACGUGGAUAACCUACAUAUAAGACUGGGAUAACUUCGGGAAACCGGAGCUAAUACCGGAUAAUAUUUUGAACCGCAUGGUUCAAAAGUGAAAGACGGUCUUGCUGUCACUUAUAGAUGGAUCCGCGCUGCAUUAGCUAGUUGGUAAGGUAACGGCUUACCAAGGCAACGAUGCAUAGCCGACCUGAGAGGGUGAUCGGCCACACUGGAACUGAGACACGGUCCAGACUCCUACGGGAGGCAGCAGUAGGGAAUCUUCCGCAAUGGGCGAAAGCCUGACGGAGCAACGCCGCGUGAGUGAUGAAGGUCUUCGGAUCGUAAAACUCUGUUAUUAGGGAAGAACAUAUGUGUAAGUAACUGUGCACAUCUUGACGGUACCUAAUCAGAAAGCCACGGCUAACUACGUG